GAUGAAGAACGCAGUGAAAUGCGAUAAGUAAUGUGAAUUGCAGAAUUCCGUGAAUCAUCGAAUCUUUGAACGCACAUUGCGCCCUCUGGCAUUCCGGGGGGCAUGCCUGUCCGAGCGUCAUUGCAAACCCUCAAGCACGGCUUGUGUGUUGGGUCACUACGUCCCCGAUACUCGGGGGACGGGCCCGAAAGGCAGUGGCGGCGUCGCGUUUAUCCGAUCAGCCGAAGCGUAUGGGGACUCUUCACACGCUCAGCGGCGCGGACCGACGCCUGCCUAAGCCAUAAUGGCGUCUAUUCUUUCCAAGGUUUGACCUCGGAUCAGGUAGGGAUACCCGCUGAACUUAAGCAUAUCAAUAAGUGGAGGA
rnacentral:misc_RNA from 1 species